GAUGAAGAACGCAGCGAAAUGCGAUAAGUAAUGUGAAUUGCAGAAUUCAGUGAAUCAUCGAAUCUUUGAACGCACAUUGUGCCCGGUAGUAAUCUGCCGGGCAUGCCUGUCCGAGCGUCAUUUCAACCCUCGAACCACUAUUCGCGUAGCUGGAUCGGUGUUGGGGCACUACGGUGGAAUACCCGUAGGCCCCGAAAUGAAGUGGCGGUCCCGCCGCGGCGCCCCCAUGCGUAGUAACAUCUCGUCUCGCAUCGGGUCCCGGCGGAGGCCUGCCGUCAAGCCUAUUUUCUAAUUACAGAUGGUUUGACCUCGGAUCAGGUAGGGUUACCCGCUGAACUUAAGCAUAUCAAUAAGCGGAGGA
rnacentral:misc_RNA from 1 species